UGGCUCAGGAUGAACGCUGGCGGCGUGCCUAACACAUGCAAGUCGAGCGCGAUUAGUUGGACUGGAGGCUUCGGYCAAAGGGAAGAYUAUGAAAGCGGCGGACGGGUGAGUAACGCGUGAGCAACCUGCCCUGUACAGGGGGAUAGCCACUGGAAACGGUGAUUAAUACCCCAUAAACCCAAAAGAUCGCAUGAUCUAAUGGGCAAAGUCCUAACGGUACAGGAUGGGCUCGCGUCUGAUUAGCUAGUUGGUGAGGUAAUGGCUCACCAAGGCGACGAUCAGUAGCCGACCUGAGAGGGUGAACGGCCACACUGGAACUGAGACACGGUCCAGACUCCUACGGGAGGCAGCAGUGGGGAAUAUUGCACAAUGGGCGCAAGCCUGAUGCAGCAACGCCGCGUGAGUGAUGAAGGCCUUCGGGUCGUAAAACUCUGUCCUAAGGGAAGAAGAAGUGACGGUACCUUAGGAGGAAGCCCCGGCUAACUACGUGCCAGCAGCCGCGGUAAUACGUAGGGGGCAAGCGUUAUCCGGAAUCACUGGGCGUAAAGGGUGCGUAGGCGGCUGAUCAAGCCAGGGGUGAAAGGCAAUAGCUUAACUAUUGUAAGCCUUUGGAACUGGUCAGCUUGAGUGCAGGAGAGGAAAGCGGAAUUCCUAGUGUAGCGGUGAAAUGCGUAGAUAUUAGGAGGAACACCCGUGGCGAAGGCGGCUUUCUGGACUGUAACUGACGCUGAGGCACGAAAGCGUGGGGAGCAAACAGGAUUAGAUACCCUGGUAGUCCACGCUGUAAACGAUGAAUACU
rnacentral:rRNA from 1 species